rnacentral:rRNA from 1 species
CGCACGGGUGCGUAACACGUGGGUAAUCUGCCCUUCGAUGGGGAAUAACUCCGGGAAACCGAAGCUAAUUCCGCAUAACAUUCCUUGAACUUCGGUUUAAGGAUUCAAAGCCGUAAGGCGUCGGAGGAGGAACCCGCGCACGAUUAGCUAGUUGGUAGGGUAACGGCCUACCAAGGCUUUGAUCGUUAGCUGGUCUGAGAGGAUGAUCAGCCACACUGGGACUGAGACACGGCCCAG